CUAAACAAAGAAAGAACAAAUUACAAUAUUUCUAAAAACCAGUCAUUAAUCCAGUCUUUAAAUCAUGUUCAACAUUUACACAUUUAAGUAUCAUAAAUCUCUCAAAUAAAGAUUAGACUGACAUAUAAGUCAACAUAAUAUUAUUGAACAAAUCUAACCUUCCUGUCUCUUAUAUACCAUAAUAUGAUGUAAAUUAAUAUAAAGUAAUUGCUACUCACAUUAAAGGUUCAUUAGAAGUCACACAGCACACAUCUCCAUCAUCUACACAUCAUCCAGGUGAAAUGUUUGGAGACAAAGGAAGACAAGUCGAGUCCAUCCCUCUCUUUAUAAUGUGAGAGUGACUCACAACUGCAUUGAACCACCAGUUGUUUCAUUGUGACGAGGAGGGAAAAUACACUUACAGUUUGUAACAGGGACAAUAAACAAUGAUUAUUAGUUAGUAAAACUUUUGGAGGAGAAAUUCUUCCAAAUAUUGAGAGUUUACUGACAUUAAAAUGUUGAUUCAUUUAUCAACAUUUAGUACAGACACACAUUACAUGUAGAAGCUCUUUUGUCUUUUUCCACUCACUGUUCUCAUAUUUGAAAUCCUGUUUCUUUAGUUUUUAAUGUUUAUUUUCAUACUGAUGAAGGAGUUUCAUAACACUGUUUAUUACUUUCUGCAGGUUGGAGGAGAUGAAGAGAAAACAAAUAACCAGAACCAGAACCAGAACCAGACCCAGAACCAGACCCAGUGGAGAGUCUGCUACAGCUAAUGUGUCCUUCAAGAAGGAUCAAUCAAAAGAUAUGGCCAAAGGAAAAAGCUCUUCUCUCAGGUUGGAGGAGAUGAAGAGAAAACAAAUGUGAGUAUAAUCUGUUAACCUCAUAAAGAUUCUUUAAGACAUAAUAUAUUGAUGAAGCUGUGAACAUCAUUAAAACCUCUUUAGUUUAGUUACAUUCAUCUUUUCUGUCACUUGUAUCUGUUGUAUCCACACUGACACUGAAGUUCAAUCAACUUUAUUUUAUUGAAGAUCAACAACAGUAAAUAUUAUAAUAUAUAACCCUCAUAAUGUUCCUGUUGUCAUAGAAUAACCUAAUAAUAAUUCAUGUUAAAGUGAGAAGUAGAGGAAACUACUUAAAAAGAGGAGGGAAAUCAUUCAGUGGGAACAGAAUCAACUUUUACUGAACUUUUCUGAUGUCUACUUGGUAGUUUCUGUGUAUCCAGCAGUUGCUGUGGCUGAUGGAUCACAAUCUAAUUUACCAUCCUGGUGGUCUUUCUCUCUUGUCCAUUAGAACCAG
rnacentral:lncRNA from 15 species